UGUGUCAUAACAUAAGGAAGGUAAUUGUCCCAAUUCUACUUGGCACUAGUGAGGCCUCAGCUGGAGUAUUGUGUCCAUUUCUGGGUACUACACUUUAAGAAAG